CCAAUGAGAGUGAAAGAUCGAGAAAACGAUACUUCCGGUUAAUUCGACAUUCCUCUUUAGUCUGUUCUAUUCUCAUUCAUUUCAUCUUUGGCUGUCCACGGAGCAACAUUCCUUUGAAGAAUUUUCUACAUAAUUACGAGUUCAUAUUCAUUGCAACCGCAUAUAAGCUGAACGUUUCCUUCUUCUUCUUCUUCUUCUUCUUCUUCUUCUUCUCCUCCUUCUUCGCACCUUAUAAUGGCGAUUAAUAAAGCUUCAGCUUCAUGGCUAGCAUCCAUACUGGAUAAUGUUCACACUGCAAAAAUUUGUUCUUAUCCACGUUAAAAUUGUAGUAAAUAUCCCAGAUAAUAAAUUUCUAUGGCAAUGCAUCUCUUAAAAAUGGCACAUUUAUACGAUUCAAAGAAAUCAUUAGGAAAUAACUUGGAAAAUGGUUGACCAAUUAAUUACAUUACAUUGAAUUAUGAUAUUAUAAUGUGAAAGAUAAUUCACAUAACAUAUGAAAAUCACAAUGACAUUUGCAUUUAAAGGAAAAACUUCAGCAUAUAAUAAUAAACCAGAAGUAUGUAAUCACGCAAUACGGACAAAUUGAGAUCGAAUCGCUGAUAAACGUUUCUACAAAAUUUUUAAUUCAGUGAAUGCUUCAAAAAAAUCAAGACAGGAGUUUAAGCAUUACAAAAUUUCAACGUGAAACUAACGAAACAAAAUAAUAUAUAUCAUCUUUAAUCAUCCUUGGCCUUACGAGUAGCCCUAUAAUUUGGAAAAAGCACUAUGUUUGGAUAUAUGGGGGCUGUAUUCACAAAAAGUACGUGAAAUCUAUCAACCUUGGAUGCAAACUGAACAGUAAUGGAUUAUAUUGAUUCAUUAUGAUUAUUGUAAAAAUAUAUAAUAUAUACUUUAUUGGAUAUGCAGAAAUUCUAAUAAAAAUAACAUAUACAAUCUAAAAA